GAGCUCCACAGGUGGUGAGACACCCACUAAGAACGCAAAUCGCUGCUAUUAUCUAGCCUGUUCUGCCACCUAGUGGAAUUUGGGGGAGUAGCAUCUGGUAAUGAGUUGGAGCAAGAUUCUGUUGCUGCUGAAUACCAAGGACUUUCUUGCAAUUAAGGUUACAGCCCCUUCAGAAUGUGUUCUAGUACUACACCCACCUGGUUUAUUUCCAGUUAUCGUAGGGCAUGUCACAUCCAGACAUCACCAAGCAGUCUGAGUAAAACCAGUUCUUGCUGUUUUAGAAAUGCCUUUAAUUUUAUGUUGGAAUUAUACAUUGGAAUAAUACACUAUUAAAUAAUGCUAGUGAAGGAUAACCACAUAGGGAAAUCCAAAAACAUAAGUGGAAAAGUAUUACAAAUAGCAUACAGAUGAUUCAGAUUAAAUGGUAUAAAACAUGCAUAAAAACAAAACGAAGUACCUCAUUAAGGUCAUAGUUGCUAUCUCUCAAGAAUGAGACAGUUAAAGAUUUUUCUAUAUGGUCUUUUUUUUUUUAAGUUUCCUAUAGUGAGAAUGAGUUAUUUUAAAGAAUAAAAAUUAUUUUAGUAUCAAAUCCUUCUCUCAAGAAAUACUUAUUAGGUCCCUACUCUACCCAGGUAUUAUGCUAGGGCCUAAAGAUUUGAAGAUGAAAUUGUGUGUGAUCUUUGCCUCAGGAGCUCCUGGUUUCCAGGGUGGAACACACACGCACAAGACCCAGGGAGUAAAAUCAAGGCGGCACAAGGAAGAGAGCAAUCCUGCUCAGCUGUGAUAACCAACGCUUCACCUCCACGAGGCUCCUAAGCCCUUGAGACAACCUGGGUCCGUGAUUCUCAUCACUGUCAGCCCAGCUGUGAAACCCCUCCUAAGACCUAAAGAGUGGAACCUCCAAAGCCUGGGGAUCUGCAACUUCAUAUCCCUUUCAUCACCUGGGAGAAGAACCCUCCUUCCUCUGAUAACAAGACUGAGCGAUAAGAGAGGUGAGUGACUUGUUAAUGUUAUGCAGCAAGGACAAGAAUCAAAUGCAAGCCUCAUUCCAGAGAAGAUGAGUAAACAACCUAGAGAGAUUGGGAAAUUUGCCUGAACUCACACAACCAAGACAUGAAGAAACAGGUCCCUCUGACUCCAGAGUUCACUCCUUUCCCCCUUACACCACAUCCCUUCUCCUGCACCAAUCACUUUGAAUGGCAAAUGCUGCUUGUCACUGUCUUUCACUCUGCAAGCCCUAAAAGGCAAGUGGUGCCACCUAUUUCAUGACUGCCACCCCAGGGCCCAGUAUGGGUCCUGCGCCCAAGGGUUCAUUCAACACCAAAAGUGUUGGAAGAGUGAGCUAUUCCAUGUGCAGAGACAGAGCCUGGAAAGCACGAGUGACAUGUUUGUCCUCGCCCUGUUCGUGGGAUAGACUUGUUAUGUCCCCUGGAGAGGUGAUAGGGGGCAGGUUGUGCCUCCUUGAGGACUUGCAGAUGUUUCCUGAGGCCCUGAGAGUAUUUCUGCUUCUUAGCUGCCUUGGCUGCCUGUCUGUGGGCGCUGCCGGGAAAGCCAGCUUCAUAGCUCUGCUGGUGUGAAUGUCAACAGCCAAUUGUAGCCAGCUCUCUGGAAAUUUCACUGACAUAUCAAGACCACUAGGGGCCCAGGAAGUUGAGUCCCCAUCACCAGCUAGUUGGAUUCCUGCAGGAUCUUUGUGGUACACACAGUGAUACAGCGUAGUUGACCCCUUGAGCUUGGCUGUCAGCUCUUGCUUUGAAAAUCAUCUCUCCCCCUUACUAAAUUUGUGGCUAUAGGGCAAGUUUCUCAACCUUUCUUAACCUCAAUUACUUAAUAUUUAACAGAGUAAUUGCCUCCUUUUCAAGGUCACAGAUAGAAGGAGAUAAUGUAGUUAAAGCCCUAACCAUCUGUG
rnacentral:lncRNA from 1 species